rnacentral:rRNA from 1 species
GAUGAACGCUGGCGGCGUGCCUAAUACAUGCAAGUCGAGCGAACGGACGAGGAGCUUGCUCCUCUGAUGUUAGCGGCGGACGGGUGAGUAACACGUGGAUAACCUACCUAUAAGACUGGGAUAACUUCGGGAAACCGGAGCUAAUACCGGAUAAUAUAUUGAACCGCAUGGUUCAAUAGUGAAAGACGGUUUUGCUGUCACUUAUAGAUGGAUCCGCGCUGCAUUAGCUAGUUGGUAAGGUAACGGCUUACCAAGGCAACGAUGCGUAGCCGACCUGAGAGGGUGAUCGGCCACACUGGAACUGAGACACGGUCCAGACUCCUACGGGAGGCAGCAGUAGGGAAUCUUCCGCAAUGGGCGAAAGCCUGACGGAGCAACGCCGCGUGAGUGAUGAAGGUCUUCGGAUCGUAAAACUCUGUUAUUAGGGAAGAACAAAUGUGUAAGUAACUAUGCACGUCUUGACGGUACCUAAUCAGAAAGCCACGGCUAACUACGUG